rnacentral:rRNA from 1 species
UACAGAGGUCUCAAGCGUUGUUCGGAUUCAUUGGGCGUAAAGGGUGCGUAGGCGGCGCGGUAAGUCGGGUGUGAAAUCUCGGAGCUUAACUUCGAAACUGCAUUCGAUACUGCCGUGCUUGAGGACUGGAGAGGAGACUGGAAUUUACGGUGUAGCGGUGAAAUGCGUAGAUAAUCGUAAGGAAGACCGAGUGGCGAAGGCGGGUCUCGUGGACAGUUCCUGACGCUGAGGCACGAAGGCCAGGGGUAGCAAACGGG